rnacentral:rRNA from 1 species
UAACUGAAGAGUUUGAUCAUGGCUCAGAUUGAACGCUGGCGGCAGGCCUAACACAUGCAAGUCGAGCGGAAACGAUCCUAGCUUGCUAGGAGGCGUCGAGCGGCGGACGGGUGAGUAAUGCAUAGGAAUCUGCCCGGUAGUGGGGGAUAACUUGAGGAAACUCAAGCUAAUACCGCAUACGCCCCAAGGGGGAAAGCAGGGGAUCUUCGGACCUUGCGCUAUCGGAUGAGCCUAUGUCGGAUUAGCUAGUUGGUGAGGUAAUGGCUCACCAAGGCCGCGAUCCGUAGCUGGUCUGAGAGGAUGAUCAGCCACAUCGGGACUGAGACACGGCCCGAACUCCUACGGGAGGCAGCAGUGGGGAAUAUUGGACAAUGGGCGAAAGCCUGAUCCAGCCAUGCCGCGUGUGUGAAGAAGGCCUUCGGGUUGUAAAGCACUUUCAGCGAGGAAGAACGCUUGUGGGUUAAUACCCUGCAAGAAGGACAUCACUCGCAGAAGAAGCACCGGCUAACUCCGUGCCAGCAGCCGCGGUAAUACGGAGGGUGCAAGCGUUAAUCGGAAUUACUGGGCGUAAAGCGCGCGUAGGCGGCUUGAUAAGCCGGUUGUGAAAGCCCCGGGCUCAACCUGGGAACGGCAUCCGGAACUGUCAGGCUAGAGUGCAGGAGAGGAAGGUAGAAUUCCCGGUGUAGCGGUGAAAUGCGUAGAGAUCGGGAGGAAUACCAGUGGCGAAGGCGGCCUUCUGGACUGACACUGACGCUGAGGUGCGAAAGCGUGGGUAGCAAACAGGAUUAGAUACCCUGGUAGUCCACGCCGUAAACGAUGUCGACUAGCCGUUGGGGUCCUCGAGACCUUUGUGGCGCAGUUAACGCGAUAAGUCGACCGCCUGGGGAGUACGGCCGCAAGGUUAAAACUCAAAUGAAUUGACGGGGGCCCGCACAAGCGGUGGAGCAUGUGGUUUAAUUCGAUGCAACGCGAAGAACCUUACCUACUCUUGACAUCGAGCGAACC